GUGUGAGCCUCCCCUUUGAGCGCACGUGGUAUCGGAAGGUCCCGAAUAGUCUUCUCACUGUCGCUGUCUCUCUCUCUCCCCUCUCUCUCUCUAUCUCUCUCUCGCGCCGGACAGUUUCUCACAGCUGACCUGUGCCAAGGGGGCAGCAGCAGGUGCUUGGCUGACCUCGUCUGCGGGGUGUAGUCGCAGAGAGAGAGGCAGAAAAGCUCUCUUGUCUAUUCUUUGAUAGAUAAGGGAACUUUUUUUGUAAUUCGCAAACUUUUUUUUUUUUAAGAUUUUCCCCAAAGGCGCGACAGAAAGUUUAGCUCCGGAAACAGAGUCGUUCAAUAAAAGAAUAAGCAAAGCAAAAGCCGAAAACAAAAACAAAAAAAAAGUUGGCGUAAACUUCUCAAAACUAUAAAGAUUUGGUUGAGUGUCCGCUAUAGUUCACUAUAGUCCUUUGAGUUGGAGUUUUAACUCGCGUGGUGUCGUCCAAUUCGCAAAGUUCGAAGACCUCCACCACGAAUGACCACCCUUGAGGAUAACGACGACAUUCGACGAGCAGCCUAAGAAGAUCCUUUUACCAAUACUAUUGCUAUUUGUGAACGUCUGGGAUUAAAUGUUUAGGCUAUGAUGGUGCGAAGACGUCUGCAUGAGGCAGGAAUACCUCAUAGAAUUCUUGCCAAGAAGGAAUUUCUCGGCAUCGUGCUGAUAGGCUUGCCUUCGUUCAACGGUUUGUGGGGGAGGAUAUGGAAUUUUGGUCUCGAGUCGUAUGCAGUGACGAAAGGUCUUUUACUAGCAGAAGUCACGGCAGAAUACAUAACUGAAGACUGAGUAAUAUAAGAUACUACAGAAGAAAUUUACGAGGUGACCAGGAAUGGGCAUGUCACAGUAAACGUGUGGGGCUGGAUCUUCUUACAUUAUAUGGAUGAUAUCACCAGGAUUGAGUGGAGGCUCACUGGUAAAAAAUACAUUGAAAUUCUUCAGGAUUUCUAACUUCUUUCACUUCAACAGCGGAAUUAUUCCUCCCCACCUGCUCCAGUCAUUUUCAUUCACGACCGCUGCCCCAUCCAUACGGCCAGAAUAGUCCAGGAAUGGUUUCAAGGUCGAGAGGAUCUGCAGUUGCUUGACUGGCCAAGUAAGGCGAAUCAGUGCCUCAACAAAGAGAAUUCCAGCGGUAAGAGCGAGUUUAUAAAUGGAAGCAACAAAGGGCAGAGGUAGAAAUAGAUAAUCAAUACAUGCAAACAGAUUAUGUUUCCACAUACAAGGUAAG